rnacentral:lncRNA from 1 species
CCCAGACAUCAAAGCUGAGCUUUCUUUGUCUCCGGCAGCCUGGGCCACUCCAGAGGUGUUAAAGCUCCAGCACUUCGAGCCUGCCUCGUGGGAAAGUCUUAGGCUGAGUCUGGGCUGGAAACCUAACAAUUUCACUUCCUAGACAACUUGCUAAAAGUCACCUAAAGACAGUCUGGUUACUGCCAAAGAUAUGCUUUCAAAUAAGAUUUGGAUAAAGAAGGGAGGUAGAUGCCUUUUUUCAGCAGUGGAGUGAUGUCUAGACCAGUAGAUGUACGCAUCUAAGUGAAUUCAUCACCAGCAACAAUUUCCAGAAACUUCCUGACCUCCAGAUUGCAGCUUCAUUAGUGUGAGUUUAAAGCCAACUAGAUGCCAUUCUCAGAUUCCACGCAUAUGGCCAAGGGUCCAGGAAAUAAGAAGAAACAGGUUGAGGGGUUGGUGUUAUGGGGCAUUUACUUGAAUUUUCUAUGCUAUAAUUGUCUCAUCUUUAAAACGGUGAUAAUAAUAAAAUUGUCAGUUAUUAAAUAAAUUAACACAGUGAAAAAAAA